rnacentral:tRNA from 1 species
GGCCCGUUGGUCAAAGGGUUAAGACACCGCCCUUUCACGGCGGUAAUACGAGUUCGAAUCUCGUACGGGUCACCA